AGCGCUCGGCGGCGAUCCCUUUGCCUUAAUUAGGAAUGGGGCAGGUGGAAAUGUCAACCCCCCUCCGUGGGGCUGAGCGAGGAAAUCAUUCUCCUUUUGCUUUCCCUUCUGCGGAUCGCAGCUGCACCCGGAUUCCCUGAAACCCCAACACGGACAAUGCAGAACGAGAGCGCCCUUCUGCUUCCUCUUUGUAUUCCCAUCCCAGAUCGCGGGGACGCGCUGUGUGGGGCGGGCAGCGUUCUGAUGGACGCAGUGAUGGGAAUUUGGAGCAUUGUUUCAAAGCAGCACCCGGCAGAGCUCCAGUCACCAAAGCACCGCGCGUUUCCUUCCUUCUGCUUAUCAGCACAGCGCCUGACAGUGCUGGCGGCAUUCCUGGCCAUAAAGGGGGCUGUAAAUAACGACCUAACGAUGCAGCUGGUUUUUGCAGGUGGAGGGACACUGGGGUCAGCCACCUUUGGUCACCGUGGAACCAAAUACAUUUGGAACAUGCCAUCUUCUGUGCAGCUGAGAAUUGCCCCCCAGCCCAGUACCCCAAACGGACGCCAACGAGAACAGCCGUCCUUCCUGGCAGCAGGGAGCCCUCCUGACCCAUGGCGUGGCCAUGCCGUCGCCGCGUGCUCACGAGUUCUUUUUUGAGCAGCACUACGGCUGCGUGCCGGAGCGUUUCUCCAAAGGCUGGGUGGCACUCACAUCAACAAUGCAAAACCCUUCGUACCCACUUGGAAGAACUGGAGAACCUUGGAAAAUUCUGAGCUGGAAGGAACCAUCGUGAUAUUCGUGUCCAAUUUCUACCUCCAUACAGGACUGCCCUGAAAGAAGAUAAGGAGCUCUAUCAGCUGGUGGCAAAACCAUGGGCUGGCAGGGUACCAAGCUUCUGUAGGAUAACAUUUGCUGGCACCUUGUCACAGAGCUGCCAACAGUGACAUGUUCCGUGUCACUGCAGCUGAUCCCACUGCUGCCCACGGUGGUGGGAGGGCUGUGAGCUGGGAGUGGGGACCAGUGGGAGGAAAUGGGGACCUCUGGGUGUGCUGUGGGGUGUGGGGGGGCAGAAUUGUUGGGGGAAGGGAAAGGGAUGGGCACAGAAGGAAUGGACUAAAGGUUGGCAUGAAAGAAACAGGGUGAGGCAGUGUGUAGAUGUCAGGCAAGAUGAUCAUAGAGGUCUUUUCUGACAUUAUUGAUUCUAUAGGGCUGGGAGGGGAAGGAAAGCUGGAGCCUGAAGGCAGGCAGCUUGUUUUUGCAGGGCCCAAUUAGGGAUGUAGAAAAAAAUUCCCAAAGUGUUGGGAUCUGCAGCUGUCCUGCUCCCACACCCCAUGACCUUACUCUGAAUGAAGCACACAUCUAUCCCGAUGCUGCAGGAAAGGGAGCUCUUUGGGGCUCAGUGCUCUGUGGGAGGAACCAUGGGGUUAGUGGGAAUGGCCAUGGAGAGGAGUGGGGAAUGGUUCUUCUUUGUAUCAGUGUGGUAAUAACAGCAGGAAUUCCACCUGCAGGAGCUGACAGAGCAGCUCUGUCCCCAUUGGAACCUCAUGUCUUUCAGCCCGUGUGUAACUCCACGAUGGGCCAAAGCUGGGGGAGAGGGAUCUGAAUUCAGUUCUGUCGGUGGACCUGGAUCUUGUUUUUCUGAGACUGUUUUUGUUGUUGCCAGAUGAACACACAAAAAGGAACAACUGUCCUUCAAUGGCAGUCAGUGCCCACGCAGAGCAGUGGUCCUCAUGGGAUGGUCACAAAGCGCCUGGAUACGUUCAGGAGGAGAUGUGUUGCUCUUCAAACCUGUGCUGCUUUGCUUUCCUCAUCCACACGUCCGUGCGUCUCUCAGCAAAAGGGUCUUUGGAAGAAAGAGUUGGGAACAGUGCAGAGCAGAUUUGCUCUGAGGAUCUCCUACAAUCUGCACUCCGGUGGAAACAUCAGCACCAGACCUUCCGUACAUUGAUUCCGAUCACAGCGCUCUAUGAAACAGCAAAAAAAGUGUCUGCAGUCACUCUGGAUUCCUCUUGGCCCCUUGUCAGCUGCUUUACGGUCGGUGAGUUCCAUCAUCAGGACUGGCAGCUCUGCAUCACCAGUUCUCCAUCACCUGCCCCCAAUUUUUGUCCGCUGUCCUCCGGAGUUACCAUCAACCUCUCACCUCUGUGACAGCGGGACGUGAAUUUCUGACAGCAUUUUCAGACAGGUGCAGCUCCUGUUGCACCCGUUUGCCUCUCUGCCCAUCCCUUGGCCACCCUGUGGCAAUGUGUUGAAACCUGUGCUGCUCUACCAGCCCUAAAGCCAUCAGCACUGCAGCGUAGUUAAUUAUGGGACGCUGCCAACCCCACUGCUGUGUCCUCAGCAAAGAGUUUCACUGAGCAUCUGAAUCACUCUCCGAAACAACAAGUCAGUGAUACAUUUUUCGUUGCUACCAAAACUUUUCACAUUUAGUUGUACCUGUAUCCAUUGUGGAUAUGGGGCACCCGCACCCACUGUGGGCUGAGCUGAGCCCUCACCCAUUGGGCUGUGCCCACACCGCUAUGGGCUGAACGUUCUCUUCCGUGCUGAAAAGCUACACAGAUGUCCAUCCAGGAGCAGAACGCUGAUGCAAUCCAGACAUCUUGUGAAAAAUUAAAAUAUGGUGCAUCCCACGUGCUCCAUCAGAAAGUGCCCUUUUGGAAAAAGAAGUUGUGAAUGGACUCGUGUUUACAUCACUUCUUACGCAUCUCACAGUGAAGUCUGUGCAUCCUCGCAGGGAACUCUCAGCCCAAAGGAAUCUCUUGGAAACCCGGGACACAUCAUCUUCAGGCCUGCAGCUUUUCUGAAGUCGUAGACCCAGCGUCUGUUCUUUGGAAAAGAAUUGAAAAAGGAGGGAAAAAAACCCCACAAACCAACAACAAAACCCCAAACCGUGUCCUUAGGGGUCAUGAAGUGUUGCAUUUCAUGGACUGUGGGAUGUCAGCACUGUGAAGUGGUCCCAGCACCACGCGUCCUCUACAUUCCUCACUGCCCCGUGCUCUGUAGCAGCACGAUUUCCCAUUGUGUUUCAAACAUUCUUCACUGGAGUUUUUAAUAACUACAGAUGUUAGAAGGGGUUUGGGAGCUGAGCUUUGAUGCUAUCCAACAUCCCACCCAUUGGGUUGCUAACUCCACUCCCAACGUCCAAUUGCACUCUUUUGUGUAAGCAGAGCAGUUCUGUUUUUUCUUUUUCUUUUUUUUUGUCUAAAUGCAUUAAAAUGGUCCAAAACCACAGAAGGACAACCUCAGUGUUAUCGACAGGAGAUGGCAAAUUCCCACCCUACUACAGGGAGAUCCCCAGUGUUUAUGGGAUGAUCUGAAGCCCACAGGAUCUGGAGGGGCUGCCCCGAUGUCGCAGUGCUGUUCAGUCCUUCUCUGCUGUGCAGAAUUCCCCUUGCCAGUGGGGCCCAUAAUGACGCUCGCAGAAACCCAUGGUUAAUUUUGGAUUGCUGUGGGUUGGGGUGGCUGGGUGUGGGACCCACAGGUCUCCAUCCACACUUGUUGGCGCAGGGCUCUGCCCGGUGUGCUGUGUGUGAGCUCGCUCUGACGAGAGCAGCAUCUUCAACUGCCUUCACCACGUCCUCAUUUCCAACAUGCUCUCCUCCCUUCUGCUCCCAGAGCCCUCCUGAGCCCCGGCACCAGGCAGCACAGUCCCACAUCACAUCCCAACUUUCUCCUCCAUCCCUGCACGUGGAUCUGUCUGUACCGAGGGGUCUGUGCUCCCCAGGACACACAGCGCGUUCCUGACCCUCGGCAGUGGGAAUCCACCAAGGGAGCGGUGAUGGAGGAUUGUCCGAGGGCAUGAAGCCAACACAGAGGCAUAGGAAGCACUCCUGUCUGCAGGGCUCCUUCUGACCACUGUGUGUGACAUGAGGAGAAGCUCACAGGGAGGCUCUGUGGGACCCUUCCCAAAGCUACCGGGGCCCUACGGAGGCAGAAUGAGUAUGGUAAAAACACAGCAUCUACCCACAGCAACGGCUCACUACGAGUUAAUAAGAACUGGCAGCAGAUGAACGGAGGUCAAGGCUGGGAGGAGCGGUGGGCACUUGGCAUUUACAGGGGGAAAAUAAAGGGAUAGCAAGGGGGAAAAUGGACUCUUUUCAUUUCUUGCAUUAGCGAUCCCCUGGGGCAGCAGAGUGUCGCAGUGAGCUGGGACUGAAAAGAAGAACAGAUCUGUCUGUGGGCAAAUGGACUGCGGGAUGCUCUUUGCUCACUGCGAGGAGGUGGAGUCUCUGUUUGCUCCGAGCUCUCUGCAGACCAUUGCUGGACACGAUGGAACCCAUCCUGAAAAGAAAACGUGCUAUCCUUGGA